rnacentral:rRNA from 1 species
GACGAACGCUGGCAGCGUGCCUAAUACAUGCAAGUUGAGCGCUGAAGGUUGGUACUUGUACCAACUGGAUGAGCAGCGAACGGGUGAGUAACGCGUGGGGAAUCUGCCUUUGAGCGGGGGACAACAUUUGGAAACGAAUGCUAAUACCGCAUAAAAACUUUAAACACAAGUUUUAAGUUUGAAAGAUGCAAUUGCAUCACUCAAAGAUGAUCCCGCGUUGUAAUAGCUAGUUGGUGAGGUAAAGGCUCACCAAGGCGAUGAUACGUAGCCGACCUGAGAGGGUGAUCGGCCACAUUGGGACUGAGACACGGCCCAAACUCCUACGGGAGGCAGCAGUAGGGAAUCUUCGGCAAUGGACGAAAGUCUGACCGAGCAACGCCGCGUGAGUGAAGAAGGUUUUCGGAUCGUAAAACUCUGUUGGUAGAGAAGAACGUUGGUGAGAGUGGAAAGCUCAUCAAGUGACGGUAACUACCCAGAAAGGGACGGCUAACUACGUG